UCUUACAAUCGGCAAUCGAAAGUCUAUAUCGCUCUCGUUGGCUCGAUGUCGACUGUUCGCAAUAAAUCAUUUGUUUACUGAGCAAGAGCACUAAAAAUACAGAAGAACUUUAAGUAGACUUGUUGGAAGCUGCGGAGCAACUGACUCCACAUUUACGACAAUUAUUCUCCGUAUUUAGUUUCUAAUAUGUUUGGUUUAUUAUUUUACGAUUAUAUACAGUUUAAAGGGGCGUGGCCGUGAACUACGAUUCGGUUUGUUAAAAUUUACAAUAUUUGAGAGCUCGAUUAUGAAUAUAACGGGUUCGCGUUGGACAUAUGUAUGUAGAAAUAAUUGGACUGCUCAGAUAGAUGCACGGCGAUCGACAAUAUUUUAGACUGACUCAUGAAAAUGGCAUAUAAGCAGUACGGAGGAUGUAUAGAUAUGCGUGCGCUCCUAUGCACGGUGAGAGGGAGCGAUGAGCGGGACAAUAGCAUAUUAGUCUAAGAGAUAAACAAGGCUAGCUGAUCUUAAUAGUUAUGUUUUUGCUGCUGCUCCGAACACGACUUGAUAUGAUUUAAUAUAAAAUAUUCGAAUAAUUUACACACACAAGUUGUAAUUAAUAAACUUAAAAAUAUACAAAUAAGAAAUAUAUUAAAAUUUUAUAUUA
rnacentral:lncRNA from 1 species